rnacentral:misc_RNA from 1 species
GAAAUGCGAUAAGUAAUGUGAAUUGCAGAAUUCAGUGAAUCAUCGAAUCUUUGAACGCACCUUGCGCUCCUUGGUAUUCCUGGGAGCAUGCCUGUUUGAGUAUCAUGAAAUCUUCAAAGUAAAUCUUUUGUUAACUCAAUUGGUUUCUACUUUGGUAUUGGAGGUCUUUGCAGCUUCACACCUGCUCCUCUUUGUUCAUUAGCUGGAUCUCAGUGUUAUGCUUGGUUCCACUCGGCGUGAUAAGUUAUCUAUCGCUGAGGACACUGUAAAAGGUGGCCAAGGUAAAUGCAGAUGAACCGCUUCUAAUAGUCCAUUGACUUGGACAAUACUUUUAUGAUCUGAUCUCAAAUCAGGUAGGACUACCCGCUGAACUUAAGC